GACGAACGCUGGCGGCGUGCUUAACACAUGCAAGUCGAACGGAAAGGCCCCGUUUUUGUGGGGUGCUCGAGUGGCGAACGGGUGAGUAACACGUGAGUAACCUGCCCCUGACUUUGGGGUAACUUCAGGUAACUGGGGCUACUACCGGAUAGGUGCUCCUGCUGCAUGGUGGGGGUUGGAAUGUUUGGUCGGUUGGGGGUGGACUCGCGGCUGAUCAGCUUGUUGGUGGGGUAGGGGCUUACCCAGGCAUUGACGGAUAGCCGGCCUGAGCGGGUGACCGACCACCUAGGGACUGAGAUACGGCCGGGACAGCUACGUGAGGGAGCAGGGAGGAAGAAUGCUUGAGGGACGGAAGCAUGAUGCACCAACGCCGCGUGCGGGAGGACGGCCGGCCGGUGGGAAGCCGCUUUCGCCUGUGACCGAGCGAGAGUGACGGUAAGGGGUAAAGAAGCACCGGCUAACUACGUG
rnacentral:rRNA from 1 species